CCUACGGGGAGCAGCAGUGAGGAAUAUUGGUCAAUGGACGAGAGUCUGAACCAGCCAAGUAGCGUGAAGGAUGACUGCCCUAUGGGUUGUAAACUUCUUUUAUAAAGGAAUAAAACGAGGCACGUGUGCCUUUUUGCAUGUACUUUAUGAAUAAGGAUCGUCUAACUCCGUGCCAGCAGCCGCGGUAAUACGGAGGAUCCGAGCGUUAUCCGGAUUGAUUGGGUUUAAAGGGAGCGUAGAUGGGUUGUUAAGUCAGUUGUGAAAGUUUGCGGCUCAACCGUAAAAUUGCAAUUGAUACUGGCAGUCUUGAGUACAGUUGAGGUAGGCGGAAUUCGUGGUGUAGCGGUGAAAUGCUUAGAUAUCACGAAGAACCCCGAUUGCGAAGGCAGCUUACUAAACUGUGACUGACAUUGAUGCUCGAAAGUGUGGGUAUCAAACAGGAUUAGAUACCCUAGUAGUC
rnacentral:rRNA from 1 species